GCAAAAUAGUGAACAGGGGGAGACAAAGAAACCGAGGCUGAGGAAUGGGAUGUGAAAGGUGGUUGGCAAGGAAGAUUCUUUCAGUGGCGAUGGAACUUCAGAGACUGACUUCAAACUGGAUUCCCAAACACGUGUCCAAACACAGCAGCAUUUUUCCUGGCCUGCACCUGAGGACUACCUAAGACAAAGCUGUAAGGUGUCCCUGGGGGCAGCACCUCCAUUUACCUCUCACAUCUAAAGAAAGACCCCUAAUAGCUCUGGCCAAUGUGGCAGAACGAAGAGGCAGAUGUUGCUACCCUUCCCCAAACAUGAAAACACAUUUAUAAACUGAUGGGAGGGGGAAAAAAAAAAAGAAGUACCUGCAAGAUGCAUUAUGUACCAUUCCAAGUUGCAUCGGUGCAAUCUGCUUUUAUUGGCAUACUUUGGUAUCAAAACCCUGCCACCAAUAUCUCAGAUCCUUCAGCUAUAUGAAGAUAAUUAAGCAUUAACCACAUCUUCAACAUACAACAUGGCCAAAUAUAAAUACAUGAAAAAGAACAAAACAUGCAAGGAUUCACCAACAUGAAAAGGAUUCCUCAUUCAAAAACGUAUGUCAGUGAGGUACCUGCACGAGCCACAGUUUCUUUCCCAUUUUCCCACAUCAGGUUUGUGAACAGUUAACAAACCGGUGUGAGAGAUGAGUGGCUUUGAAUCACACUUCAAGAAAACAGCAACCUGUUAAAUCCUCGUGACUCCAAAUGACCGAUACGUACACUGUUUCUCAAAGUGAUGGCUACUAAAUGGCCAUUCAUACAACAGCAUAAAUAUUUG
rnacentral:lncRNA from 1 species